ensembl:lncRNA
AUUACAUCCUUCAAGUUCAUUCGAUUAUGAUAAUCAGAUUUCUAAUACUGUGAAAAAGACUUAGUAAGAUUCAUGCACUUUUUAUGACUAAAUGAUACAAUUGUAUUGCGCAGGCCAAAAAGUUUGUUCAAGUUUUUCCAUAACAUCCUAUGGAAAAAAAGCUGAAUGAAUAUUUUCUUUUUCAUCUUUGAAAUUACAUGGUUAAAUUCUGGUAGUCUCUUCCUCAGUGAGAGGGCUUUAAGAAGGGAAAGCACUACUUGAUUAAUGCUGGAAAAAUGCCAAUGAAAGGUUGAUUUUGCAUCUCAUUGGUCUUAUUUCCAGGGUAAAAUGGAUGAAAAAAUAUAGAAUGUUAGAAUCCCAGCCUGGUUCUGCAGAAUGCUGUGCUAACAGAAAAUUUGCUUUGGGGUCUAUUUAAGAAAACACUUGAUUUACUUAUUUUUUAAAAACUUUUUAUUUUGUAUUGAGGUACAGCCAAUUAGUAAAGUUGUAAUAGAUUCAGGUGAACAGUGAAGGGACUCAGCCAUACAUAUACUUGUAUCCAUUCCCCCCAAAGAGUCGGACACAACUGAGUGACUAAUAUAGACACAUGCAAACAUUCCCCCUCAUAUUACCUUUAUAAUUACUGAAUAUUUAGGGAAAAGACAUGGGUUCCAGAAAGGGAAAGGGUGAUGCUUUCUGAGGAGCUCAGGGAUUUUUUUUCUUAAUGGAUCUGACAAGGGUUGUCCUAUUUUCCCUAAACAUACUUCCUGUGUUUGGCAAAGGGGGGCUGGGAAUGAGAUAAGAGGGAAAAGGAGAAAAAGGGAAGUAGGAAGAAGAAAAAAACCAACUCUCAAAUCUCACUUAGUGGGUUAUGUGUAGAUUUAGUUCAGGACUGAUAUCCCCUUGCUAUGAAGUAUAUUUCUGAGCUGUUGCCCUUCACAAGUUAGUCAGUGUGUAGUUAAGGAAAGCGAUCUAAUUUAAUUUCAGUCUGGGCAGUAAAUCUCCUGCAAUGAAGGUUGAGAUAUAAG